rnacentral:lncRNA from 1 species
AUGGAGUCCCGGAAGAUGAGUAUUUUCAAGAGACAAACAUCACCUUGUCCUCCAAGCUAUGGAAGAUCUUUGUCAGAACCUGCUUAUGCACAUUCAGAGCCUGGAACAAGCUUAAAGAGUUAUCCAUGGUGUGGUCCAGUGAAAAGCAAGAGGAAGAAAAAUGAACAGGCUGUUUCCAAUCUAGGAAAGCCACUGGGUGCUUAUCGGUGGCAGACACAUCCCAGCUUUAGGUGGAAAGGGGGCAAAAGGGAACAAUUGCAAAAUAAUAAAGGAGGCCUGGAUGAACCACAACAAGAGGUCCUGCCACAGAUGGUUGGGAAUAACGUUUCUUCCUCUGCUAACGAGGUCCAUGGAACAUCAGUGGCGACGGAGAACCUGGUCAACACCCGGUCACUUCGGGUUCCAUUCAGCAGAUCUAUGUCAGAACCAGAACCCCGCGGCAGUGUCAGAUUUGGUAGACGGUGGCUGACUUCGGUGGGGUCAGUGGAGUCUGAGCAGCAGGGGUAUUUCAUCCGUGGUAUUUUCUCUACUCUUUCCAAUGGCUUCUCCAGGAUGCUGAGUCUAAAAGGAGAAUCAACCAGUGAAUCAGUAAGAGAAGGUAUUAGGUACAAAGGAUCCAGUCCAGUCUGAACAAAG